AAGUUCAUUGCGAGGGAUUUUUUAUUCCAAAAACAGCGGGAUCCAGAUGUGAAUGAUAAGUUGUACCACCAAGUAAUUUUGAAGGUAUGGAUAUUCCAAAAUGUGGUACUCGUGUUUUAUUAAAAACCCUGCUGGAAGAGUCGCCGUUGCCAAUGUGCAGUGUUCCCGAAGUCUGGAACCUCUCCAAUCGCCGGCAAGCUCAGAUGGCGUUAGGGUUUUUCGCCCAAACGAUUUUGGGGAAGAACCUGUAUUACCGACCGGAUCUGUGGGAAGAAAGAAAGAAGAAAAAGGGGUGG
rnacentral:lncRNA from 1 species